rnacentral:rRNA from 1 species
UACGUAGGGUGCAAGCGUUGUCCGGAAUUAUUGGGCGUAAAGAGCUCGUAGGCGGUCAGUCGCGUCUGCUGUGAAAACUCGGGGCUUAACUCCGGGCCUGCAGUGGGUACGGGCUGACUAGAGUGCGGUAGGGGGAGACUGGAAUUCCUGGUGUAGCGGUGGAAUGCGCAGAUAUCAGGAGGAACACCAAUAGCGAAGGCAGCUCGCUGGGACGGUACUGACGCUGAGGCGCGAAAAGCGUGGGGGAGCGAACAGG